rnacentral:rRNA from 1 species
ACGCUCGACACCUACGGGAGCAGCAGUGGGGAAUAUUGCACAAUGGAGGAAACUCUGAUGCAGCGACGCCGCGUGAGGGAAGAAGGUCUUCGGAUUGUAAACCUCUGUUGUCAGGGACGAUGAUGACGGUACCUGACGAGGAAGCCACGGCUAACUACGUACCAGCAGCCGCGGUAAUCUGAGCGGGCUGGCAAGGC